rnacentral:SRP_RNA from 1 species
ACGGGAGUCGGGUGGACGCUUGCGUUCGCCAACCUGGUCAGAUCCGGAAGGAAGCAGCCACAACGGAUUGCUGCGGGUCAUCCGGCUCCUUUUUC